GUUACCUGACACCAGCAGGGAGGAGACAGUCCUAGUAGGAGAGAAUUGUCCGAAGCAGAUCGUGGAGACUUAAGGAAAAAAGCUCCAUAGUAGUCUCCAUCAUCUGGUAUUUGAAGUGCAAUUCUUCCUCCGUCUGAGGAUCUUCAAGAAAAUCGACAGAUUUUGGGAACACGGUUCCUCUUGCCUGCAAAGGAGCAUUGAAUAAGUGAAGCUGACAGAAACAGUAUGGGGUUCCGAGAAUCACAGGCUCAGAGGAAACACUUGAAAUGAGAAAUUUUGGCGCUUGGCUUGGACAUUGAGGGUAAAGAAUGAGACUGAGAGGAGACAGUGGGGUAACAAACUCAGCCAUAAAAGUUAGG
rnacentral:lncRNA from 1 species